GACGAACGCUGGCGGCGUGCUUAACACAUGCAAGUCACGGGGGCUUGGGGGCGACUCUGAGCAACCGGCGAACGGGUGCGUAACACGUGAGCAACCUGCCGAUCUGUGGGGGAUAGCCGGGCUAACGCCCGGGUAAUACCGCAUACGGUUCCUGCGAGGCGUCUUGCGGGAAAGAAACCUCUGGGGCAGAUCGAGGGGCUCGCGGCCUAUCAGCUGGUUGGGGGGUAAUGGCCCACCAAGGCGACGACGGGUAGCUGGUCUGAGAGGAUGGCCAGCCACAUUGGGACUGAGAGACGGCCCAGACUCCUACGGGAGGCAGCAGUGGGGAAUCUUGCGCAAUGGCCGCAAGGCUGACGCAGCGACGCCGCGUGUGGGAGGACGCCUUUCGGGUGU
rnacentral:rRNA from 1 species